AUUGAACGCUGGCGGCAUGCCUUACACAUGCAAGUCGAACGGUAACAGGUCUUCGGAUGCUGACGAGUGGCGAACGGGAGAGUAAUACAUCGGAACGUGCCUAGUAGUGGGGGAUAACUACUCGAAAGAGUGGCUAAUACCGCAUGAGAUCUACGGAUGAAAGCAGGGGAUCGCAAGACCUUGUGCUACUAGAGCGGCCGAUGGCAGAUUAGGUAGUUGGUGGGAUAAAAGCUUACCAAGCCGACGAUCUGUAGCUGGUCUGAGAGGACGAUCAGCCACACUGGGACUGAGACACGGCCCAGACUCCUACGGGAGGCAGCAGAGGGGAAUUUUGGACAAUGGGCGCAAGCCUGAUCCAGCAAUGCCGCGUGCAGGAUGAAGGCCUUCGGGUUGUAAACUGCUUUUGUACGGAACGAAAAGCCCUGGGUUAAUACCCUGGGGUCAUGACGGUACCGUAAGAAUAAGCACCGGCUAACUACGUGCCAGCAGCCGCAGUAACAC
rnacentral:rRNA from 1 species